rnacentral:rRNA from 1 species
UACGUAGGGGGCAAGCGUUGUCCGGAAUCAUUGGGCGUAAAGGGUGCGUAGGCGGUGAGGUAAGUCGGAUGUGAAAUCCCGGGGCUUAACCCCGGAACUGCAUUCGAUACUGCCUUGCUUGAGCACUGGAGAGGAGACUGGAAUUUACGGUGUAGCAGUGAAAUGCGUAGAUAUCGUAAGGAAGACCAGUGGCGAAGGCGAGUCUCUGGACAGUUGCUGACGCUGAGGCACGAAGGCCAGGGGAGCAAACGGG